rnacentral:rRNA from 1 species
GACCUGGUCGGGUGGUCUUGCCGAAAGGUAAGCACUGCUCUUGGCUGGGUCUUUCCUUCUGGGGAACCAAUGUGCUCUUAACUGGGUGCAUUUGGGAAUCCAGGACUUUUACUUUGAAAAAAUUAGAGUGUUUAAAGCAGGCUAUCGCUUGAAUACAUUAGCAUGGAAUAAUAGAAUAGG